GGUUCAUUCAAAUUUCUUCCCUAUCAACUUUCGAUGCGAGGGUAUUGUCCUCGCAUGGUUACAACGGGUAACGGAGGGUUAGGGCUCGACCCCGGAGAAGGAGCCUGAGAAACGGCUACUACAUCCAAGGAAGGCAGCAGGCGCGCAAAUUACCCAAUCCCGACCGGGGAGGUAGUGACAAUAAAUACUGAUACAGGGCUCUUUUGGGUCUUGUAAUCGGAAUGAGUACAAUUUAAAUCUCUUAACGAGGAACAAUUGGAGGGCAAGUCUGGUGCCAGCAGCCGCGGUAAUUCCAGCUCCAAUAGCGUAUAUUAAAGUUGUUGCAGUUAAAAAGCUCGUAGUUG
rnacentral:rRNA from 1 species